AUUGAACGCUGGCGGCAGGCCUAACACAUGCAAGUCGAGCGGAUGACGGGAGCUUGCUCCUGGAUUCAGCGGCGGACGGGUGAGUAAUGCCUAGGAAUCUGCCUGGUAGUGGGGGACAACGUUUCGAAAGGAACGCUAAUACCGCAUACGUCCUACGGGAGAAAGCAGGGGACCUUCGGGCCUUGCGCUAUCAGAUGAGCCUAGGUCGGAUUAGCUAGUUGGUGAGGUAAUGGCUCACCAAGGCGACGAUCCGCAACUGGUCUGAGAGGAUGAUCACUCCAACUGGAAAUGAGACACGGUCCAGACUCCUACGGGAGGCAGCAGUGGGGAAUAUUGGACAAUGGGCGAAAGCCUGAUCCAGCCAUGCCGCGUGUGUGAAGAAGGUCUUCGGAUUGUAAAGCACUUUAAGUUGGGAGGAAGGGUUGUAGAUUAAUACUCUGCAAUUUUAACGUUACCGACAGAAUAAGCACCGGCUAACUCUGUGCCAGCCGCCGCCGUAAGAC
rnacentral:rRNA from 1 species